AGGAAGGCGGUGUAGUUAAUAGCUGCAUCGUUUGACGUUAGCGACAGAAGAAGCACCGGCUAACUCCGUGCCAGCAGCCGCGGUAAUACGGAGGGUGCGAGCGUUAAUCGGAAUUACUGGGCGUAAAGCGCAUGCAGGUGGUUUGUUAAGUCAGAUGUGAAAGCCCGGGGCUCAACCUCGGAAUUGCAUUUGAAACUGGCAGACUAGAGUACUGUAGAGGGGGGUAGAAUUUCAGGUGUAGCGGUGAAAUGCGUAGAGAUCUGAAGGAAUACCGGUGGCGAAGGCGGCCCCCUGGACAGAUACUGACACUCAGAUGCGAAAGCGUGGGGAGCAAACAGGAUUAGAUACCCUGGUAGUCCACGCCGUAAACGAUGUCUACUUGGAGGUUGUGGCCUUGAGCCGUGGCUUUCGGAGCUAACGCGUUAAGUAGACCGCCUGGGGAGUACGGUCGCAAGAUUAAAACUCAAAUGAAUUGACGGGGGCCCGCACAAGCGGUGGAGCAUGUGGUUUAAUUCGAUGCAACGCGAAGAACCUUACCUACUCUUGACAUCCAGAGAACUUUCCAGAGAUGGAUUGGUGCCUUCGGGAACUCUGAGACAGGUGCUGCAUGGCUGUCGUCAGCUCGUGUUGUGAAAUGUUGGGUUAAGUCCCGCAACGAGCGCAACCCU
rnacentral:rRNA from 1 species